rnacentral:rRNA from 1 species
CGCGGCCUAUCAGCUUGUUGGUGAGGUAACGGCUCACCAAGGCAUCGACGGGUAGCUGGUCUGAGAGGACGAUCAGCCACACUGGGACUGAGACACGGCCCAGACUCCUACGGGAGGCAGCAGUGGGGAAUCUUGCACAAUGGGCGAAAGCCUGAUGCAGCGACGCCGCGUGGGGGAUGAAGGCCCUAGGGUCGUAAACCCCUUUCAGUAGGGACGAAAAUGACGGUACCUACAGAAGAAGCUCCGGCCAACUACGUGCCAGCAGCCGCGGUAAGACGUAGGGGGCGAGCGUUGUCCGGAAUCAUUGGGUGUAAAGAGCUCGUAGGCGGUUCCGUAAGUCGGAUGUGAAAACUCAGGGCUCAACUCUGAGACGCCAUCCGAUACUGCGGUGACUUGAAUCCAGUAGGGGAGUGUGGAAUUCCUGGUGUAGCGGUGAAAUGCGCAGAUAUCAGGAGGAACACCUAUGGCGAAGGCAGCACUCUGGGCUGGUAUUGACGCUGAGGAGCGAAAGCGUGGGUAGCAAACAGGAUUAGAUACCCUGGUAGUCCACGCCGUAAACGGUGGGCACUAGGUGUGGGGACUUUCAACGGUUUCCGUGCCGAAGCUAACGCAUUAAGUGCCCCGCCUGGGGAGUACGG